AGAGUUUGAUCCUGGCUCAGGAUGAACGCUGGCGGCGUGCCUAAUACAUGCAAGUCGAACAAGUACUUCGGUACUUAGUGGCGAACGGGUGAGUAAGACGUAAGCAACCUGCCUAUGGGAUGGGAUAACGUUUGGAAACGAACGCUAAUACCGGAUAGGUGAAGGAAGGGCAUCCCUCCUCAUUAAAGUUUAGAUACACCGAUAGAUGGGCUUACGGCGCAUUAGCUAGUUGGUGAGGUACGGCUCACCAAGGCGACGAUGCGUAGCCGGACUGAGAGGUUGAACGGCCACAUUGGGACUAGACACGGCCCAAACUCCUACGGGAGGCAGCAGUAGGGAAUUUUCGGCAAUGGGGGAAACCUGACCGAGCAACGCCGCGUGAGUGAAGAUGGCCUUCGGGUUGUAAAGCUCUGUUGUAAAGAAGAAUGUUACCGAUAGAAUCGGUAAGUGACGGUACUUUACCAGAAAGCCACGGCUAACACGUGCCAGCAGCCGCGGUAAUACGUAGGUGGCGAGCGUUAUCCGGAAUUAUUGGGCGUAAGGGUGCGUAGGCGGUCUGUUAAGUAUAAGGUGAAAGCGUGGAGCUCAACUCCAUACAGCUUAUAAACUGGCGGACUAAGAGUGCAGGAGAGGUUA
rnacentral:rRNA from 1 species